rnacentral:rRNA from 1 species
UAGUACGGCGAGUGAAGAGGAAAGAGCUCAAAGUUGGAAACUGUUUGGCUUAGCUAAACCGUAUUGUAAACUGUAGAAACAUUUUCCUGGCACGCCGGAUUAAUAAGUCCUUUGGAACAAGGCAUCAUGGAGGGUGAGAAUCCCGUCUUUGAUCCGAGUAGUUGUCUUUUGUGAUAUGUUUUCAAAGAGUCAGGUUGUUUGGGAAUGCAGCCUAAAUUGGGUGGUAAAUCUCACCUAAAGCUAAAUAUUUGCGAGAGACCGAUAGCGAACAAGUACCGUGAGGGAAAGAUGAAAAGAACUUUGAAAAGAGAGUUAAACAGUAUGUGAAAUUGUUAAAAGGGAACCGUUUGGAGCCAGACUGGUUUGACUGUAAUCAACCUAGAAUUCGUUCUGGGUGCACUUGCAGUCUAUACCUGCCAACAACAGUUUGAUUUGGAGGAAAAAAUUAGUAGGAAUGUAGCCUCUCGAGGUGUUAUAGCCUACUAUCAUACUCUGGAUUGGACUGAGGAACGCAGCGAAUGCCAUUAGGCGAGAUUGCUGGGUGCUUUCGCUAAUAAAUGUUAGAAUUUCUGCUUCGGGUGGUGCUAAUGUUUAAAGGAGGAACACAUCUAGUAUAUUUUUUAUUCGCUUAGGUUGUUGGCUUAAUGACUCUAAAUGACCCGUCUUGAAACACGGACCAAGGAGUCCACCAUAAGUGCAAGUAUUUGAGUGACAAACUCAUAUGCGUAAGGAAACUGAUUGAUACGAAAUCUUUUGAUGGCAGUAUCACCCGGCGUUGACGUUUUAUACUGAACUGACCGAGGUAAAGCACUUAUGAUGGGACCCGAAAGAUGGUGAACUAUGCCUGAAUAGGGUGAAGCCAGAGGAAACUCUGGUGGAGGCUCGUAGCGAUUCUGACGUGCAAAUCGAUCGUCAAAUUUGGGUAUAGGGGCGAAAGACUAAUCGAACCAUCUAGUAGCUGGUUCCUGCCGA